rnacentral:lncRNA from 1 species
UGAUAACAUAAGAUAAUAUAUAAAAAGUUUGGAAGUUUUCACUUUUCACAUAAACCCUAGAUAUAUUUUACAUAUCUAGAUUCAUGAACUUAACUUGGGAAAAAAAGGGAAGAAACCCACAGCAAAAGAAAAAGUUUGAAAAAAGUAAACACUAUAAAGCAAAUAAAGUAGAGUUGAAAUUAAUUAAAUUGCACUUGAUCUAGCAAAAUAAUUAAUUAAUAAUCGGACCAUGAAGCUUGAUUCCCCAGGUGAUGAAAGAAGUUGAAAGUUUCAUGAAUAUAAUGAAAUGAAAGGAACUUAUAAUCAAAGAGACAAUAGUACCCUUGUUCUUCAUUCAAUGCUCAGAAACUAGGUACAAAACAAUGGUUGUUGCAGAGAGAGUGGUUUUUCCCUUGGACAAAAACAUGUAUCUGAAAUUGAUGAGUGUGUAUUAAUGAGAAAUUCUCUUUUGUUUUGGUUUGUUUGAUGCAUGUGAUGAAGUGUGAAGAGUGGUAGUAAUGAUGGUGCUUUUAGGUUUGUGGGGAAAGGGAAAAAGAUGAAGUGGGAACAAUGAUGGUGAUAGAGAACAUAAGAGAGGGACAUGAUGAAUGAUUCUGGCGUUGAAAUAGAGAAAG